UACGGGGGGGGCAAGCGUUGUUCGGAAUUACUGGGCGUAAAGGGUUCGUAGGUGGCUCGCUAAGUCAGACGUGAAAUCCCUCAGCUUAACUGGGGAACUGCGUCUGAGACUGGCAAGCUUGAGUGCAGGAGAGGAACGCGGAAUUCCAGGUGUAGAGGUGAAAUUCGUAGAUAUUAGGAAGAACACCGGUGGCGAAGGCGGCCCACUGGUCCGGUACUGACGCUGAGGUGCGAAAGCGUGGGGAGCAAACAGG
rnacentral:rRNA from 1 species